rnacentral:rRNA from 1 species
GACGAACGCUGGCGGCGUGCUUAACACAUGCAAGUCGAACGGUAAGGCCCUUCGGGGUACACGAGUGGCGAACGGGUGAGUAACACGUGGGUGAUCUGCCCUGCACUUCGGGAUAAGCCUGGGAAACUGGGUCUAAUACCGGAUAGGACCACUGCCUGCAUGGGUGGUGGUGGAAAGCUUUUGCGGUGUGGGAUGGGCCCGCGGCCUAUCAGCUUGUUGGUGGGGUGAUGGCCUACCAAGGCGACGACGGGUAGCCGGCCUGAGAGGGUGACCGGCCACACUGGGACUGAGAUACGGCCCAGAAUCCUACGGGAGGCAGCAGUGGGGAAUAUUGCACAAUGGGCGCAAGCCUGAUGCAGCGACGCCGCGUGAGGGAUGACGGCCUUCGGGUUGUAAACCUCUUUCAGCUAUGACGAAGCGCAAGUGACGGUAGUAGCAGAAGAAGGACCGGCCAACUACGUGCCAGCCGCCGCGUAA